rnacentral:misc_RNA from 1 species
GUUAAUAUUCCUUAACUUUUGUUUUCCCCUAUAACCCCAAUUAUCCUAGUCACCCCUAUAUUAACGUAUAAGCCUUUUCUUUGGGUUUAAAAGGUUACAUGUUAAUUGGCAAUUCCUCCUUUCUACUAAAUAUGGUAAAAGGGGGAUUAAAAAUCAUUCCAGAUGUUAAAUGAUAAAAGAGAGCAAGUCAUGGGAUUCAAUUUGGGCAUUGAUUUUAGUAGCAGAUAUAAUCCAUGAGUUCAAUAGUAAUGUUUUUGUUUGAGUCGGCUGAAAAUUGGAGUAAUAUCCAUUACCCCUUACCUUUGAUGCUCACUCUAAGAUGACAGGGAUUGAUAACAGAUGUAAUUGUGUCAGAUUUGAUGUUUGCUUUCCUGCAUGCAUGAUGGUCUAUUACUGAUGGUUUUUUGUGGACCACGAGGAUCUAGAAUACUAUUUAUUUUGUUUGGAUUUGAGUACCAACAAUAUAGGGAGUGGCUUAUGUAUGAAUCACAUGUGGUAGGAUGAUGGU